UGUGGUAUUAUUCAGUCUUAUCUUUUAGGGGUUGAUAUUGGUUAUAUUCUUUAUGACAUUCAAAAAGAUUCAAAUAAAAUCUCUUUUACCUUUAACCUUUGAGUUAAUUUCAAGACAGUAAUGGUCAAGUCAUAUAUUCAGGAACCAGCUUCAGUCAGGAGGAACAUAUAGUUCUGUUGUAGCAAUUCUGAAGCAAGGGAUAGAAUGGAUUUAGAAAUUGGAAGGUUUGAAAGUGUCCUCUCAUCAUGAGAUGCCUGCAGGCAGAGUGUUCAUUAUCCUAUCACAACUGUAUCAAAGAAAACUGCAGUAUGUCAGUGGCCUUGACAGGAUAAAUAAAUGAUUUUCUAAACAGCUCUUUGUUUCUGAUCGGUUCAUAAACUGUAUGUUUAAUUCCAAGGUCAGCAGAAAUCACAUCCUGGCAGGCUGUGUUAAGUAACCUGAGUCUUGCAAUUUGGAGUCAUGGUCAGAUUUAUGGUUCAGAGGAGAAUGAGUAGAAUAGGUCAGUGGAAAGAUACAGACUGGAAAUUAAGAGACCUGGACUCUCAUAGAUGGGUCAUCGUAGCCUUUGAAUCACCCUAGGCAUGUUGCAGAAUCAUAGUUUCUGCAGUCAACCAUAAAAUGGGGGAGUUAGACCAGAUGAAAACAUGACUCAUGUUUCACUAUAUCCUAUUGCAAUGAUUCAUGGUGAUUCUCUAAACCAUGAGCAAAAUAAAAAAGAGAGGAGACUAUAGGAAAACCCC
rnacentral:lncRNA from 1 species